AUUUGUCUUCAUCCACAUACUCAUAUUGGAUACUGAGUUUGCCCAUAAAAAAGCGUGCUCUAACAGAAUCAUAGAAUUUCUAUGUUGGAAAAGUUCUUAGAAGUCCAAUCUCCUUCCAGCUUUUUUCCAUGUUACAUAGAAUGUGCUUGCUUCUGCUUCCCCUUCCAACUCCUCCACCUGUUCCAUCUCUGGCACCACUGACAUGGCAAGACCAACUCUGCCUCUUCCUCCUCUGUAGCCUACUUAAUGUGAAGAAUACAAGAAUGAAGACUUUUAUGAUGAUCCACUUCCACAUAGUGGGAGAACUGAAGCUUGGAGAUGUGAAGUGACUUGUCCAGAUGAUUGGCCCUUAAAUCCGCAUGGCCUGACUCCCAAGCAGAUGUGGUCUCUAAGGUACAUGGUGCAGUAGUUUUUGAUCCAUGUUGAUUCCCUUUUCUUCUGCAUCCUUUGGUUCAGAUGCUCAGUGUUAAAUAGACAAUUUUCUAAAUGAAACUAUGAUUUUGGCUUCACAUUUGGGAAGAAACUAUCUUCCUUCCUUUGCUCACUUCUUGCCCUCCUGCCUUUCUUCUUUCCUCAAUCCCUUCCAACAAAAACAUAUUGAACCCCCGCCACCUCCUAUGUGCCAACUCUGUGCUGAGUGCUUGGGAUGGAGCAGUGACUAGGACAUAUGAUGUCCCUAUCAUCAUGGAUCUUCCCUCUAGCAGAAAGAACGGACUAACAUUUCUAAAUCAUAACAGAAAAUGACGAAACAGAGAAAUGCAAGGGAAUGGAAAAGUUGAGAGGAUCUAGAAGGAUAGGUUAUGGAAAUUGCCCUCAGACAAUGACAUCAAAGCUGAAAUUCAGUUAGAACUCAGUCAUGAGAAGGCGGGGGGAGUGUGCAGAUGGAGGGAAUUCCUAGAAGAAACAACAGGUACAAAUGCUCAGAAGUAUAAGAGGACAAGCUGACUUGAGUCACUGAGAGCGGUUUAUUAUGACUAGAGGAUAAAUUGGUUGUAAAUUGGCCAGUAAAGUAGGCAGUGGCCAGAUCUCCAAGGGGUUAAGGCACUGAGUUAAGAGGCUGUUAUGCUAAUACAGGUGAAAUUUGACAGUUGCUAUGGGAAAGGAUAGGACUUUUUCAAGCUUUAAUGUGUAAACAAAUUACACCUAGAGAUCUUGUUAAAAUGCAGAUUCUGAUUCAAUAGGUAUGGGAUGGAGACUGAAAUUCUGACUUUCUAACAAGCUCUCAGGUGAUACCCAAGAUGUGGUCCACAAACCACACUUGAAUAACAAGGUCUAGACCUGUGCUGUCCAAUGUGGUCACCACUAGCUGCAUGUGGCUAAUCGAGCGAUUGAUAUGUAGUUGGUUCAAAUUGAAAUGUAAUGUGAGUGUAAAGUACACAUUUGAUUCUGAAGACCUAAAUAGAAAAAAAAAAUGUAAAAAUGUCUCAUUAGUUUUUAAUUGUUUGUAUGUUGAAAUGAUACUAUUUUGGAUAUAUUGGAUUAAAUACAAUAUAGCAUUAAAAUGAAGUUAACCUGUUUUCACUUUUUGAAUACGCCCACAAAAUUAAAUCACAUCUAUUGAUUAUGUGCUUACCUGUAUAUUGGUUUAAAUGAAAUAUAUUAUUAUAAUUAAUUCUACAUGCUUGUUUCUACUUUUUAAAAUGUGGAUGCUAGAAAAUGUAAAAUUGCAUAUGUAGCUCUCAUUAUCUUUCUACCAAAUCGCCCUUCCUUGAACUGUCUCUCUGCCACGGUUAAUUUGCUCACUGUUUCUUUAAGACAGGGCACUUUCCUACUCUGAAACCUAUGUUCACUGCUUCCCCUUCUUAGAAUGACCUCCUAGCUAUUAAUACUAGUCAACUAAUUCAUCAGAAAAUGUUGGUUUGCCUGGAGCAGGGGUUCCUAACAUUUGAAUCACCAGAGGAACUGGUGACCUAACCCUAAUUGGUUCUGCUUUAAAUACUUUACCUGCAGUGACUCUAAUGUGUAUUCAAGGUUGAAGAUACUAAAAAGGAAUUUAGACUUAAUCCAACCCUAUUUUUUAAAUGACUAAACCAAGUCUCAAAGUCAGACUCAUUUAGGGUCACAAAAAAAUCAACCCAGGUUCCUGGAUUCUUAUCAUUUCUCAAUCUCUUCUUUGCAGCCUACUCAAAUGUCGUUCAUACAGGCUUACCAUUGUGCUCCUCCUUCAAUGUUAUUUGCGUUUAAUUGUCUUGAUCACACCUGGAAGGACUCUGUCAGCUGUAAGCCUGUGGGUACCCCAAAAAAGCGGAAAAAGUCGUCCUUCUAGGACUAGCACCUCUGAGAUAUACUAGGGGACCGAGACCAUAUUCCAAAGUUGUAAAGGUUCACAUGGUGCUAAACU
ensembl:lncRNA